AUUGAACGCUGGCGGCAGGCCUAACACAUGCAAGUCGAGCGAGCGGCGGACGGGUGAGUAAUGUAUGGGGAUCUGCCUGAUGGAUGGGGAUAACUACUGGACACGGUAGCUAAUACCGCAUACCAUCAGCUGAACCCAUAUGGGAUUAGCUUGUAGGUAAGGUAACGGCGUACCUAGGCGACGAUCCCUAGCUGGUCUGAGAGGAUGAUCAGCCACACUGGUACUGAGACACGGCCCAGACUCCUACGGGAGGCAGCAGUGGGGAAUAUUGGACAAUGGGCGAAAGCCUGAUGCAGCAAUGCCGCGUGUAUGAAGAAGGCCUUCGGGUUGUAAAGCACUUUCAGUCGGGAAGCGUUACCGACAGAAGAAGCACCGGCUAACUCCGUGCCAGCAGCCGCGGUAAUUC
rnacentral:rRNA from 1 species